UACGGAGGGUGCAAGCGUUGUUCGGAAUUACUGGGCGUAAAGGGCGCGUAGGCGGCCUGCCAAGUCAGAUGUGAAAGCCCACGGCUCAACCGUGGAAGUGCAUCUGAAACUGGUAGGCUAGAGUAUCGGAGGGGAAAGUGGAAUUCCCGGUGUAGAGGUGAAAUUCGUAGAUAUCGGGAGGAACACCAGUGGCGAAGGCGACUUUCUGGACGGAUACUGACGCUGAGGCGCGAAAGCGUGGGGAGCAAACAGG
rnacentral:rRNA from 1 species